GACGAACGCUGGCGGCAUGCCUAACACAUGCAAGUCGAACGGAGUUAUGUUGAUUGAGAUCUUCGGAUGGAUUUCGAUAUGACUUAGUGGCGGACGGGCGAGUAACGCGUGAGCAACCUGCCCUUCAGUGGGGAAUAACGGCUGGAAACGGUCGCUAAUACCGCAUAACAUCUUCGAGUGGCAUCGCUUGAAGAUCAAAGAUUUAUCGCUGAAGGAUGGGCUCGCGUCCGAUUAGAUAGUUGGUGAGGUAACGGCUCACCAAGUCGACGAUCGGUAGCCGAACUGAGAGGUUGAUCGGCCGCAUUGGGACUGAGACACGGCCCAGACUCCUACGGGAGGCAGCAGUGGGGGAUAUUGCACAAUGGAGGAAACUCUGAUGCAGCAACGCCGCGUGAGGGAAGAAGGUUUUCGGAUUGUAAACCUCUGUUUUUAGUGAAGAAAAAAUGACGGUAGCUAAAGAGGAAGCCACGGCUAACUACGUGCCAGCAG
rnacentral:rRNA from 1 species